UACGUAGGGUGCGAGCGUUAAUCGGAAUUACUGGGCGUAAAGCGUGCGCAGGCGGUUCGUUGUGUCGGGGGUGAAAUCCCCGGGCUUAACCUGGGAAUGGCCAUGGAAACUGGCGAACUGGAGUGUGGCAGAGGGGGGUGGAAUUCCGCGUGUAGCAGUGAAAUGCGUAGAGAUGUGGAGGAACACCGAUGGCGAAGGCAGCCUCCUGGGCCAACACUGACGCUCAUGCACGAAAGCGUGGGGAGCAAACAGG
rnacentral:rRNA from 1 species